AAAGACUCUGGGUAGAGCGGGCACUAUGAGAAGCAUAUAUCUGUGGGAAAAGCUGUUUGGACCUAUGCACAUCUCCCUGGCACUGCCACCACACAUCCCAUCAAGACUGACAUUACUCACUCCAUUGUUCACCAAGAUCUCUGUCCUCUGUACCUCAACUGGCAUUAGAUGGUUAACAGACAACCCACAGGCCAACAAAGACUGCUUUCAGAACUUUUCUGAGAGCAGCAGAAAUGAGAUUGCACCAACAAUCUUGAGGGAGUUGUCAUAAACUAUAACAAUCUCCAACCAUUUCAACUGCAAGUUGUGUGGCACUUAGAGAUAAAGAAAACAGCAUCCUGAGAGCUGCCCCUCCAAUAUGCUUUUGGCCAGAGCCCAUCCAAAGUGGUACCACAAGCUUGGCAAUGUGCAAGCUGCCCUGAGAGAGGCCAACACCACUUCAAAGUGACUCCUGCCCUGGGAAGAGGGAAAGAUACCACACACAUCAGUAAGACUGUAGCCCCAACAGUGGGGCUGGGGGCAGAUGGUUGUUAUGACUGCCGGCUCCAUCCACCAAUGAAAUUUUCUCAGGGAACAAAACAGAGAAAGCACCCUGUAGUUUGGUGCUACUGCAACUCUGGAAAAAUGCCUGGUCUGACCCAAUUUAACCUCAAGGAGGGCCAAGUCUGGCCCACUAAUACCACAGGAACCAAAUACUGCCCACAACAGAAAAAGAGAGGCACUGCAAACAACUGAACUAAAGGAAAAGACUGCUCAGCCACAACAGCAGGGCACAUGCAACACACAAAGGAGAUACCAUUGAAGCUCCAGAUUCUGGUGAAGAGGGGAUAUUACACCGCUGGGCACUACAGGACCUCAUCCUCAAAAAGCUACUGCUGAGUGAAAUAAGUCAAGCAGAGAGAGUCAAUUAUCAUAUGGUUUCACUUAUUUGUGGAGCAUAACA